GUGCUCAAGUAGGCAGGCACAAAUAGUAAAAUUGGAAAGACGCGGAGAGAGACUGGCGUGGCCCCUAGACAAGGAUGACAUGUAAAUUAAUGAAGCAUUCCAUGUUAAA